rnacentral:rRNA from 1 species
GACGAACGCUGGCGGCGUGCUUAACACAUGCAAGUCGAACGGAAAGGCCCUGCUUUUGUGGGGUGCUCGAGUGGCGAACGGGUGAGUAACACGUGAGUAACCUGCCCUUGACUUUGGGAUAACUUCAGGAAACUGGGGCUAAUACCGGAUAGGAGCUCCUGCUGCAUGGUGGGGGUUGGAAAGUUUCGGCGGUUGGGGAUGGACUCGCGGCUUAUCAGCUUGUUGGUGGGGUAGUGGCUUACCAAGGCUUUGACGGGUAGCCGGCCUGAGAGGGUGACCGGCCAAAUUGGGACUGGGAUACGGCCCAGACUCCUCCGGGGGGCAGCGGGGGGGAAUAUUGCACAAUGGGCGGAAGCCUGAUGCAGCAACGCCGGGGGGGGGAUGACGGCCUUCGGGUUGUAAACCGCUUUCGCCUGGGACGAAGGGGGAGUGACGGGAAUGGGUAAAGAAGCACCGGCUAACUACGU